GAAAUGCGAUAAGUAGUGUGAAUUGCAGAAUUCAGUGAAUCAUCGAAUCUUUGAACGCAGAUUGCGCCCUUUGGUAUUCCAAAGGGCAUGCCUGUUCGAGCGUCAUUUGUACCCUCAAGCUUUGCUUGGUGUUGGGCGUCUUGUCUCUAGCUUUGCUGGAGACUCGCCUUAAAGUAAUUGGCAGCCGGCCUACUGGUUUCGGAGCGCAGCACAAGUCGCACUCUCUAUCAGCAAAGGUCUAGCAUCCAUUAAGCCUUUUUUCAACUUUUGACCUCGGAUCAGGUAGGGAUACCCGCUGAACUUAAGC
rnacentral:misc_RNA from 1 species